AUAGCAUUCUGUUUCCCUUCGGCUUUUCUAACCCGCAAAGGCCCAAACCAAACCAAACAUCAGAGUUGAAGAAUAGAAGGAUUUUAGCUUUUGAUUUCGGGUGAUCCAUCAAUUUAAUGGGUCGACGUCGGCUAAUCAAAACCAUCGUAGCGGGUGCAAGUAGGGAUUUAAUAAGUCUUCUACCGGUAGAGGUAAAGCACAGAAUUUUGGAGUGUUUGCCCAUCCGAGACGUCGCCAGAACUACUCUACUCUCAACCCACUGGAAUGAUGUUUGGUUACAGCAUGGGAGUCUUGCGUUCGAUUGUGACUUCACAUAUAGUGUCGAACAGGGCCACGAUGAUGAAUGCAGAACUCUCUUUGACAUAAUAAAUAAUAUUCUCCUUUCCCGUGCUGGACCGGUUAAGAAAUUUACUCUACAGAUUGGUAAUUAUUAUCCUGUGCGGCAGUCUGAUUUCAAUAGGUUGUGUUUUUUUCUAUCAAGAAAUGGUGUGGAGGAGCUUAACAUAUGUCUUUUUAAUUGUGGAGAGGAUGAAUAUAAGCUGCCAUUUUGUAUACUCUCGUGCCGGACAAUUAAGCAAUUGAGUGUCGAAGGUCCCUUUAUUGUUGCCCGUAAAUAAUGUUGGUGGCAUAUUUUCCAAUGUCACUUCAUUAUUUUUCCAGGAUGUUGAAUUUAGACACACUGUUAAUGAAACUGCCUCUAGUAUUAGUAUUCCAAACCUUGAGAAGCUGGCUUUCCAAUUUUGUGGAGGGAUUAAUAAAUUUAAGAUCAGCACACCAAAACUUGAAAUGUUGUCUGUUCGUAAUUUUGUGCAUGAUGUGGUUGAAUCAAGAUGGUUGACACCACAUUUGAAAACAAUUAAGGCUCUUUGGUUGUGUGGCUCUUCCUUGUGGUAUAUGAACAGAU